rnacentral:rRNA from 1 species
CGACGAUCAGUAGCCGGUCUGAGAGGAUGAACGGCCACACUGGAACUGAGACACGGUCCAGACUCCUACGGGAGGCAGCAGUGGGGAAUCUUCCGCAAUGGACGAAAGUCUGACGGAGCAACGCCGCGUGAACGAAGAAGGUCUUCGGAUUGUAAAGUUCUGUGAUUCGGGACGAAAGGGUAAAUAGUGAAUAACUAUAGACAUUGACGGUACCGAAAAAGCAAGCCACGGCUAACUACGUGCCAGCAGCCGCGGUAAUACGUAGGUGGCAAGCGUUGUCCGGAAUUAUUGGGCGUAAAGCGCGCGCAGGCGGCUUCUUAAGUCCAUCUUAAAAGCGUGGGGCUCAACCCCAUGAGGGGAUGGAAACUGGGAAGCUGGAGUAUCGGAGAGGAAAGUGGAAUUCCUAGUGUAGCGGUGAAAUGCGUAGAGAUUAGGAAGAACACCGGUGGCGAAGGCGACUUUCUAGA